rnacentral:rRNA from 1 species
UACGUAGGGUGCGAGCGUUAAUCGGAAUUACUGGGCGUAAAGCGUGCGUAGGCGGUUCUGAAAGUCAGCUGUGAAAGCCCCGGGCUUAACCUGGGAAUGGCAUUCAGGACUGCGAGGCUCGAGUGUGGCAGAGGGAGGUGGAAUUCCACGUGUAGCAGUGAAAUGCGUAGAGAUGUGGAGGAACACCGAUGGCGAAGGCAGCCUCCUGGGCCAGCACUGACGCUCAUGCACGAAAGCGUGGGGAGCUAACAGG